CCAAUAGCGUAUAUUAAAGUUGCUGCAGUUAAAAAGCUCGUAGUUGAAUUUCGGGACUAAUAUGUCGGUCGUGCCUCGGUACGUACUGGUUUAUUGGUUUCUCCUUUCUGAAGAACCAUGAUGUCAUUUAUUUGGUGUCGUGGGGAAUCAGGACUGUUACUUUGAAAAAAUUAGAGUGUUUAAAGCAGGCUUUAGCUUGAAUACAUUAGCAUGGAAUAAUGAAAUAGGACGUUCGAACCUAUUUUGUUGGUUUCUAGGAUCAACGUAAUGAUUAAUAGGGAUAGUUGGGGGCAUUAGUAUUCAAUUGUCAGAGGUGAAAUUCUUGGAUUUAUUGAAGACUAACUACUGCGAAAGCAUUUGCCAAGGAUGUUUUCAUUAAUCAAGAACGAAAGUUAGGGGAUCGAAGACGAUCAGAUACCGUCGUAGUCUUAACCAUAAACUAUGCCGACUAGGGAUCGGAUGAUGUUAAUUUUUUAAUGACUCAUUCGGCGCCUUACG
rnacentral:rRNA from 1 species